GCGCUGCUGAGGAGGGGAGCAGGAGGAGGAGGAGGAGGAGGCGACUGGGCAGCAGCCAGCAUCUGUGUCCCCUAAACAGGUUGGAAAAAGCAGUUUCAGUCUGGGGAGCCCUUUGACCACUGAACCACUUGCACACACAGUUGAGUGUCAUGGACCGAAUCCAGCCAGCUGGGUGCUCGAGGACCUGGUUUACUAUUGUGUGGAUGUCUGAAGCCAAAAAAAAAAAGUAGGGCUGUGUGAGCCAUGUCUCCACUCUAUGUACACUCUAUUUUUCUCUCUCUCUCACACACACACGCUGCACCUCUAUCUUUCUCUCAGCUGAAAAAGGCACAAGCUGGCUGGCCUGCAGUAACCUAAGGCAAACACUUUCCCGGGACCAUCUGGAAAUCAUCUCGCCCGCAGAGCCAGCGAAAGUACAGAGCAGAAGCUACGUUUACAACUCGGUGAUAACAACCGGGCGACUUGAACUGCACGGUUGAACAAGUCAUGCACCAUUGCCUGUUCACAACAUCUCAUAAAGCAUUCUGUUGUAAUCAUU